rnacentral:rRNA from 1 species
UACGUAGGGGGCGAGCGUUAAUCGGAAUUACUGGGCGUAAAGCGUGCGCAGGCGGUGAGCUGUGUCCGAUGUGAAAGCCCCGGGCUUAACCUGGGAAUGGCAUUGGAAACUGGCUCGCUGGAGUGUGGCAGAGGGGGGUGGAAUUCCGCGUGUAGCAGUGAAAUGCGUAGAGAUGUGGAGGAAUACCGAUGGCGAAGGCAGCCCCCUGGGCCAAUACUGACGCUCAUGCACGAAAGCGUGGGGAGCAAACAGG